rnacentral:rRNA from 1 species
UACGAAGGGGGCUAGCGUUGCUCGGAAUCACUGGGCGUAAAGCGCACGUAGGCGGCUUUGCAAGUCAGAGGUGGAAGCCCGGGGCUCAACCCCGGAAUUGCCUUUGAGACUGCAUCGCUAGAAUUGUGGAGAGGUAAGUGGAAUUCCGAGUGUAGAGGUGAAAUUCGUAGAUAUUCGGAAGAACACCAGUGGCGAAGGCGACUUACUGGACACAUAUUGACGCUGAGGUGCGAAAGCGUGGGGAGCAAACAGG